CCCUACGGGGGGCAGCAGUGAGGAAUAUUGGUCAAUGGGCUUACGCCUGAACCAGCCAAGUCGCGUGAGGGAAGACUGCCCUAUGGGUUGUAAACCUCUUUUGUCAGGGAGCAAUAAUGGUCACGUGUGGCCAGACGAGAGUACCGUACGAAUAAGCAUCGGCUAACUCCGUGCCGGCAGCCGCGGUAAUACGGGGGAUGCAAGCGUUAUCCGGAUUUAUUGGGUUUAAAGGGUGCGUAGGCUGUGAGGUAAGUCAGCGGUGAAAUGCCCCCGCUCAACGGGGUGAAGUGCCAUUGAUACUGCCU
rnacentral:rRNA from 1 species